rnacentral:rRNA from 1 species
CUCUGGCGGCAGGCCUAACACAUGCAAGUCGAACGGUAACAGAAAGCAGCUUGCUGCUUUGCUGACGAGUGGCGGACGGGUGAGUAAUGUCUGGGAAACUGCCUGAUGGAGGGGGAUAACUACUGGAAACGGUAGCUAAUACCGCAUAACGUCGCAAGACCAAAGAGGGGGACCUUCGGGCCUCUUGCCAUCGGAUGUGCCCAGAUGGGAUUAGCUAGUAGGUGGGGUAAAGGCUCACCUAGGCGACGAUCCCUAGCUGGUCUGAGAGGAUGACCAGCCACACUGGAACUGAGACACGGUCCAGACUCCUACGGGAGGCAGCAGUGGGGAAUAUUGCACAAUGGGCGCAAGCCUGAUGCAGCCAUGCCGCGUGUAUGAAGAAGGCCUUCGGGUUGUAAAGUACUUUCAGCGGGGAGGAAGGGAGUAAAGUUAAUACCUUUGCUCAUUGACGUUACCCGCAGAAGAAGCACCGGCUAACUCCGUGCCAGCAGCCGCGGUAAUACGGAGGGUGCAAGCGUUAAUCGGAAUUACUGGGCGUAAAGCGCACGCAGGCGGUUUGUUAAGUCAGAUGUGAAAUCCCCGGGCUCAACCUGGGAACUGCAUCUGAUACUGGCAAGCUUGAGUCUCGUAGAGGGGGGUAGAAUUCCAGGUGUAGCGGUGAAAUGCGUAGAGAUCUGGAGGAAUACCGGUGGCGAAGGCGGCCCCCUGGACGAAGACUGACGCUCAGGUGCGAAAGCGUGGGGAGCAAACAGGAUUAGAUACCCUGAUAGUCCACGCCGUAAACGAUGUCGACUUGGAGGUUGUGCCCUUGAGGCGUGGCUUCCGGAGCUAACGCGUUAAGUCGACCGCCUGGGGAGUACGGCCGCAAGGUUAAAACUCAAAUGAAUUGACGGGGGCCCGCACAAGCGGUGGAGCAUGUGGUUUAAUUCGAUGCAACGCGAAGAACCUUACCUGGUCUUGACAUCCACGGAAGUUUUCAGAGAUGAGAAUGUGCCUUCGGGAACCGUGAGACAGGUGCUGCAUGGCUGUCGUCAGCUCGUGUUGUGAAAUGUUGGGUUAAGUCCCGCAACGAGCGCAACCCUUAUCCUUUGUUGCCAGCGGUCCGGCCGGGAACUCAGAGGAGACUGCCAGUGAUAAACUGGAGGAAGGUGGGGAUGACGUCAAGUCAUCAUGGCCCUUACGACCAGGGCUACACACGUGCUACAAUGGCGCAUACAAAGAGAAGCGACCUCGCGAGAGCAAGCGGACCUCAUAAAGUGCGUCGUAGUCCGGAUUGGAGUCUGCAACUCGACUCCAUGAAGUCGGAAUCGCUAGUAAUCGUGGAUCAGAAUGCCACGGUGAAUACGUUCCCGGGCCUUGUACACACCGCCCGUCACACCAUGGGAGUGGGUUGCAAAAGAAGUAGGUAGCUUAACCUUCGGGAGGGCGCUUACCACUUUGUGAUUCAUGACUGGGGUGAAG